GGACCUGACUGCUUUCGGAUUGAUACUAAGCCAUGCGAGUCAUUGUAGCAAUACAAGGCAGACGGCUCAGUAACGCGUAGUCAACCUACCCUAUGGACGGGAAUAACCUCGGGAAACUGAGUAUAAUGCCCGAUAGAACAUUAUACCUGGAAUGGUUUAUGUUCCAAAUGAUUUAUCGCCGUAGGAUGGGACUGCGGCCUAUCAGUUUGUUGGUGAGGUAAUGGCCCACCAAGACUAUUACAGGUACGGGCUCUGAGAGGAGUGGCCCGGAGAUGGGUGCUGAGACACGGACCCAGGCCCUAUGGGGCGCAGCAGGCGAGAAAACUUUGCAAUGUGCGAAAGCACGACAAGGUAAUCCGAGUGGUUUCUGCUAAAGGAACCUUUUGUCAGUCCUAGAAACACUGAUGAAUAAGGGGUGGGCAAGUUCUGGUGU
rnacentral:rRNA from 1 species